ensembl:lncRNA
GCCAGCAUCAUCUCCCCAAAUGGAGAUUUUCCUGCUCAGCUUGGGGAGGAAGCUUGCAGCAGUCAGAGUCUCGUCUGAUGGUGGAAUGAGCCAGUUUCCCACGAGGAAAAGACGUUGGUCUCCCUGUGGAACACUCGUCCCCCUCCUUAAAUUCCCAUGCAGAGGGGCUCCCCUGGACUUUCUCAGCUGGGGCCUCAGCCAUCAGAAUACUAUGCACACUGGGAUCUUCUCUCUCUUCUAGCUCUAGGCAGGACCAGAGGGAGGCAGUGAUCUGAGAGAAUAUGCCAUCAUUGGAGAACCACAUUCUCCCUUGGGAGAGAAGACGACUCUCUCAGGUUCUAGACUUGAGCUCCUCUCCCACAACCUUCUUGGAAAUCUGACACAGCAUUUUGGUUUCUAUCUUUUUGGCCAGUACUUAGCAAUUUGGUCACUCCUGGCUGCAAGAGAGGCUGGACAAUGUAGUCUUUUAACAGAGCACACAGCCUACAUGAGAUAAUCAUGUGGAAGAAGAAAGAGAGGGAGAAUAUUGCAUGACCACUAGCAGCCUCCACUACAAUAACAGAUCUUGAUCCAUUUUCCUCUCCACUCACCUGACUUCUGAGUUUUCUGGCUCUGAGCUUGAUGGGCGAGCUGGGGGUUUCACAUGGGCUCCCGACAGCCCAGGAGUUCCGGCAGGUGCUGGAGGCUUCCUCCGGCCUGAGAAGGGGUUCCUACAUUUUAUGGCUGGUUGUACACAGCUGGCAGUUUUAUGACCCUUUCUCCAAACAAAAUCUUACUCAUAUGAACAACUGGUGAAAUUGGAGCAGCGCCGGGUAAAGCCACACCCUGGAGCUCACUGGAAGCCCCUCCCGGGCUCAGCCCUGGCAGACCCAGGCUGCAGGAACAGAAUCGGAAAAACCACUGGACCAGACAACCUUGGAGGCCCUUUCGUAUACGAGGCCCUGCGACUCUAAGGCUUAGUGACUACAAGGCCUCCUUUCUCCAGAGUGACCUCAGAUAGAGGCCUCCUGGAUUUCUGGAAGAUUCUAUCCUAGAGUGCCCUGCUUAGAGUUGGAAGAUCCCUCAGGUCUCAGCUUUGGAUUUGGGAAUCCACUGCUGCCAAACUGAAUGUCAUUAUAGGGUGAGACUCCAGGGGAAGCUCAGGAUGCAUGCCUCCACCCGGAGUCUGGGUCCAGGUCAAGGAUGCCGUGCGCACAGCAACAGGUUCAGAGUGGCGUCUGGGGCGGUCUCUCUCCUUCCUGUGGGAAGGGGCUCUGGAGGUGGACUGGGACAGGAAUGGAACCACAGUCAGGCGUUCCGUGUACUCUGCAGAGAUGGAAGGACAGUGCAAGGGCUCAGCAACUCUUCAAAGCUUGAAAUCUAUCCAACUCUUCUUUCUAUACCAUUACCUGCUCCUGUUCCGGUACACAGAAGGCACUCAAUCAAUGCUGUGUGCAUGAAGGAAGGACAACAUGGAUAAAGGCACAGAGGCGUGAAGGAGGGCAGAAACCAGUUGGUGGGUACGGAUGGAGGGAGCCAGGAACAGGCAACAGGGGAAGUGGGAGAAGAGGCCAUGACAGAUCACAGCGGGCUCAGAACCCCAUGGAAAGGAGCCGUUUCUGGUCCCGAGGACAGCAGAGAGUUAACGGCCAUCUUCCAGCCGGAGAGGUAUAGGUCAGACCCGUGUCCUGGAAGCAGCCCUCUGGCUGCCUCCCGGAGGAUGCACUGGAUGAGAAAGCGAAGAUUCCAGCGAGGGCCCCACAUGGCCCGGGAGCAGUGCCAUCGCCACCUUCCAGCCCGCCUUUUAGACCUACAGUUACUUCUGCAAAUGGACAUGUGGCCUCUCUCAGAUGUGGUAUUUUUGAUGUUCUCAUGUAUAAAUGCAUUAAAAAGAGAGCUUCUUUUCA